AUGUUUUCUGUAGCUCUGCUGCUGCUGCUGGCAGCUGGAUGUGUGAAGUGUGAACAGUUGACACAGCCAGCCUCUGUGACUGUGCAGCCAGGUCAGCGUCUGACCAUCACCUGUCAGGUCUCUUAUUCUGUUAGCAGCUACUGGACAGCCUGGAUCAGACAGCCUGCAGGGAAAGGACUGGAGUGGAUCGGUAGCGGAUAUCAAUCCUACAGAUACUACAAAGAUUCACUGAAGAACCAGUUCAGUAUCGACUUAGACUCUUCCAGAAAAAUAGCGACUCUAAACGGACUGAAUAUGCAGCCUGCAGACACUGCAGUGUAUUACUGUGCCAGAGACCCACAGUGACACAACCCAUCAGUAGAGCUGAACAAAAACUACUUCCUCUUUUUACUACCAUCACAAUAUUUCAUGUGAUUCACAAUCAACUAUGAAAAUUUUGAGUGUUGAACAAAUACUUAUCAAGUCAUCAACUUCAUUUGUUUUUUUAAAACACAGUUUCUCAAUAAAUGGAAGUUUAAGUUUUA